ACCCUUUACCUGAUAACCCCCACAACUAACAAAGCUAUUGCCUUUUGUAUAUGAAAUGCUUGUUAUCGCCACUUCUCUGAAACCCCAAGAGAUAGAGGCUUGAAACUUAAACCAAAGCUUUAGUUCACUUAUAAGAGGAUCAUUCAAUUAUUAAUACUCAAAAGAUCCAAUGUCCCUUUCUAGCAGUAAUUGCCCCUGAAACUUUCUAAACUUCAUCAUAAAGACAUCUGACCACUUCGGUUGGUGGCGUCUACCUUGGCCAAUUAAAAUGAUUUAAAUUACUGAUUUUUUAUAUCUCUAUUGUUUAGGGUGGUAUUGAAUUUUUUUUUAAGAAUAUAGUAGAAUUUCUUAUGGCUUUUCAAAAUAUAACCCCUUAGUCCCUAUCUUGAUAUAGUUAUAGAGUCGUUGCCCUUAUUAUAUGAAUUGCUUGUUAUCGCUUCUUCUCUAAAACAUAAAAGAUAGAAACUUGAAACUUUUACCAAUAUCUAUAGUAGGAUUUAAGAAUUUCUUGAUUUAUUCAUAUCUUAAGGAUCCGAUAUUCUUUUAGACAGUAUUUGGCCCUGAAUGUUUCUUUAUUUUGUCAAAAACACUUACAACUUCAGAUUCAUACAUCGUCGAGACAUAUGACCACUUGAAAAUGAAAAGUUGACUUUGGGCAAUUAAAAUGAUAUAAGGGUCAAAAGUCAAUGUCAAUUAAAAAAUCAUACUAUAUCUUUUGACAUUAUUUUUUCAUGAAGUAACGCAGGGACAGCAUUUAAUCGAUUCUCUAAAAACAGAAAUGUUCCAAACCUAAAACAUUAUAAGGUGGAAAGACCUCUAAUUGUUCGAGAACAAUGAGUCUACUAGUUGUAAUCUGUGAUGACUGAUAAAUGUGUGAAUUUGAUCUUUUUCUGAUCAGCGCCUUUUGAAUGUGUUGUAGAGUCUUGUUAGUUAUAGAUAUAAAUUUGUUAUAUGC
rnacentral:sRNA from 1 species